rnacentral:rRNA from 1 species
CCUACGGGAGGCAGCAGUAGGGAAUCUUUCACAAUGGGCGAAAGCCUAAUGGAGCAACGCCGCGUGCAGGAUGAAGGCCUUCGGGUUGUAAACUGCUUUUAUAAGCGAGAAAUAUGAUGGUAACUUAUGAAUAAGGAUCGGCUAACUACGUGCCAGCAGCCGCGGUCAUACGUAGGAUCCGAGCAUUAUCCGGAGUGACUGGGUGUAAAGAGUUGCGUAGGUGGCAUAAUAAGUAGCUAGUGAAAUCUGGUGGCUCAACCAUUCAGACUAUUAGCUAAACUGUUAAGCUCGAGACCGUUAGGGGUAACUGGAAUUUCUAGUGUAGGAGUGAAAUCCGUAGAUAUUAGAAGGAACACCAAUAGCGUAGGCAGGUUGCUGGGACGGUUCUGACACUAAGGCACGAAAGCGUAGGGAGCAAACGGGAUUAGAUACCCCUGUAGUC